rnacentral:lncRNA from 1 species
GUGUACGAGCCAGCUCACAUGCUCCCCACAUGGCUCAUAAAUCCGGCAUCUCUUUGUUUAGGUCGUCGCCUUCGCUUGGCAUGGUCCUCGUGGUAAAGUAAGUGGCCUUUUGUAUUUUAGAAAACAUUGAGUAGGUGGUUUUUAAUGUGGGCAUACACUCUAAUGUGAUAUAUGACAAAGUGGGAGAAAGAAGGUCAUCAUCUCACAUCCUAAUCGUAUCACAAAACCAUUGAAUACUUAAGGGAUCUUGCGGGGGGGAAA